rnacentral:lncRNA from 1 species
UACGGAACAGAGGAGAGAGGGAGGCCCGGUAACCCGAAACCAGGCAAUAGUGGAAGUACUACACAGGCAUGCGUGUGUGUGUGUGUGUGUGUGUGUGUGUGUGUGUGUGUGUGUGUGUGUGUGUGUGUGUGUGUGUGUGUGUGUGUGUGUCACAACCCACUAAAUUAGAAUUUUCCAAAUCCAUCUGUGAGGAAUGUGGCCGAGCGGUGUAUUUGUGGAGGAACAGGAGGAGAAUCCACCGAAGCUGAACAGCCUGAGACAGUCGAGGCCCACUCCGUUUCCAGGUGUGCAGGGAGCGGCAGGAGGACAAGGCAGGCGCGUCCACGAACGCUGACUCGGCUCUGCCCCGCUGCUGUGAGCGCUACCCCGGCGCUUUGUGGGUCAAGAUGGAGGAUUAGAACUCAGCGUGUCAUCGUGGCGCUGACACUCCACCUGCCGCCUCAGCCCACGUUUACAGUCGCUUCCAGUGAGAAGAUCGGGGUGGGGGGGCGUCUGCCUCCUCCACUGGGCUGGGGGGUACGUUGGGUGCUCCUGCAACCAAACAGCAGCAGGAAGUGACGGUGGGAGGUGAUGAUCAUAAUCGAGAGCAGCACUACACUGAUGAGUGUCCUCGCUGCAGCCAGGCCCAGAGACGCGGCACAAGCUACCGCAGGUUAGCCAACGUCACUCUCUGCCUUCUACCUCAUGAUGGGGUUUAAGCUCACACAGGAUCAAUCAUUAUUUAAAACAUGAAUGCACAGAAGGGACAUUCGGACCAUGUGGAGUCAUCCAGGAAUCCAGGGAUCCAUGAAUAUAUGAAGGGCUUUGCCUUUUACAAAGACACACGUACAGUAAAUGUAACAUCUUCAUACAGACACUCUGACGCAUGCAGAAUUUAAUUCUCUGCUUACAUCAAAUCCAUCGAUCGCCACAAUUCCACUAAAAAUGAAUUAUUGACUUUUUGCGUAAAA